rnacentral:rRNA from 1 species
UACGUAGGGGGCAAGCGUUGUCCGGAAUCAUUGGGCGUAAAGAGCGCGUAGGCGGCCCUGUAAGUCCGCUGUGAAAGUCAAGGGCUCAACCCUUGGAUGCCGGUGGAUACUGCAGGGCUAGAGUCCGGAAGAGGCGAGUGGAAUUCUUGGUGUAGCGGUGAAAUGCGCAGAUAUCAGGAGGAACACCGAUGGCGAAGGCAGCUCGCUGGGACGGUACUGACGCUGAGGCGCGAAAGCGUGGGGAGCAAACAGG